rnacentral:tRNA from 1 species
GCCGCCGUAACGUAGAGGCUAGAUGAGCUGCGGAACCUGGUAAGCCCGGAGGCCGGGUUCAAAUCCCGGCGGCGGCC